rnacentral:rRNA from 1 species
GUUAGGAAUAUUGGACAAUGGGCGAAAGCCUGAUCCAGCCAUGCCGCGUGAACGAUGAAGGCCUUCGGGUUGUAAACUGCUUUUGUACGGAACGAAAAGCCUCUGGUUAAUACCCGGGGGUCAUGACGGUACCGUAAGAAUAAGCACCGGCUAACUACGUGCCAGCAGCCGCGGUAAUACGUAGGGUGCGAGCGUUAAUCGGAAUUACUGGGCGUAAAGCGUGCGCAGGCGGUGAUGUAAGACAGUUGUGAAAUCCCCGGGCUCAACCUGUGAACUGCAGCUGUGACUGCAUUGCUGGAGUGCGGCAGAGGGGGAUGUAAUUCCGCGUGUAGCAGUGAAAUGCGUAGAUAUGCGGAGGAACACCGAUGGCGAAGGCAAUCCCCUGGGCCUGCACUGACGCUCAUGCACGAAAGCGUGGGGAGCAAACAGGAUUAGAUACCCGGGUAGUCC